rnacentral:misc_RNA from 1 species
UUUCCGUAGGUGAACCUGCGGAAGGAUCAUUAUUGUAUAACCGAGGUGCGAGGGCUGUCGCUGACCCGAAAGGUCGUGCACGCCCGAGUGCCCUCACACGCAUCCAUCUCACCCCUAUGUGCACCACCGCGUGGGUCCCCCUUUGGCGUGUUCGGAGGGGGGCUUACGUUUUCACACAAACUUUGUAUGCAGUGUAGAAUGUAUUUUUUGUUUUUGCGAUCACGCAAUCAAUACAACUUUCAACAACGGAUCUCUUGGCUCUC